rnacentral:rRNA from 1 species
GCAAGUCGAACGGCAGCACGGAGCUUGCUCUGGUGGCGAGUGGCGAACGGGUGAGUAAUAUAUCGGAACGUACCCUAGAGUGGGGGAUAACGUAGCGAAAGUUACGCUAAUACCGCAUACGAUCUAAGGAUGAAAGUGGGGGAUCGCAAGACCUCAUGCUCGUGGAGCGGCCGAUAUCUGAUUAGCUAGUUGGUAGGGUAAAAGCCUACCAAGGCAUCGAUCAGUAGCUGGUCUGAGAGGACGACCAGCCACACUGGAACUGAGACACGGUCCAGACUCCUACGGGAGGCAGCAGUGGGGAAUUUUGGACAAUGGGCGAAAGCCUGAUCCAGCAAUGCCGCGUGAGUGAAGAAGGCCUUCGGGUUGUAAAGCUCUUUUGUCAGGGAAGAAACGGUGAGAGCUAAUAUCUUUUGCUAAUGACGGUACCUGAAGAAUAAGCACCGGCUAACUACGUGCCAG